AGCUUUUUAAAUUUGUGCUCAGAUUUCGUCAGACAGCAACCCAUUAGGGCUGAUCAGACUUUCAAGAUAAGUGAAGUU
rfam:Schistosoma mansoni strain Puerto Rico chromosome 5, complete genome